AUUCCCCUCAAUCGUUAAAAGCAUCUCGCAAUCGUCCUUUUCCGCCCCUUCCCCAGUCCUACCCACUCGCCGUUACUCCUAAGGUUGUGGGGGGAAAUCAUCGGAGGGCGCUUCUGUAAUUUACUACAAAUCUAAUGGCGGAUCGGAACAGCAGCACGAACGGCAAUCCCAAUGCGGCUGCGGCUACGGCGGCGGGGGCGGCUGCCACCGGCGCCGUGGCAAAGACGAUAUGGAUGAAGCAAGCGGAGGAAGCUAAGCUCAAAAGCGAAGCGGAGAAAGCUGCGGCUGCCAAAGCAGCUUUCGAGGCCACGUUUAAGAACUCCUCCAACAAUACGGCUGCAGCUGCCGGGUCCGAGGACGAUGACGACGAUGAAGAUGAGGAGGAAAGAGAGCGAAGAAGGCUGGCUUUAAAGCCAAUUGGUCCAGUGGACCCCGGUAAGUGCACCGCUGCCGGUGCAGGGAUCGCCGGUGGGACUGCGUGCGUGGGGUCGACUUUUGUGGUGGUUACAAAGGAUGCGGAUGGCCGGAAGUUGCCUCACGGUGGGGCUCAGGUCAAAGUUAGGGUUUCACCUGGAGUUGGAGUGGGAGGAACCGAGCAGGAGGGGAUUGUGAAGGAUAUGGGGGAUGGGACUUAUACAGUGACGUAUGUUGUUCCAAAGAGAGGGAAUUAUAUGGUGAAUGUUGAGUGUAAUGGGAAGGCUAUCAUGGGGAGCCCUUUCCCUGUGUUCUUCAGCUCAGGUCCUACAACUGGAGGGUUGCUGGGGGUUGCUCCCUCUUCCACAUACCCAAAUAUGGUUAAUCAAACCAUGCCCAAUAUGCCAAAUUAUUCUGGUUCUGUUUCAGGUGCAUUUCCUGGAUUGCUUGGGAUGAUUCCUGGUAUUGUUCAGGGAGCUUCCGGUGGGGUGGUUUUACCUGGGAUUGGUGCAUCUCUUGGAGAAGUUUGUCGAGAAUACCUUAAUGGUCGGUGUGCAAAAACUGAUUGCAAGUUUAGUCAUCCUCCUCACAAUCUUCUGAUGACUGCUUUAGCUGCCACAACUAGUAUGGGCACUGUUAGUCAGGUUCCCAUGGCACCUUCUGCUGCUGCAAUGGCUGCUGCUCAGGCUAUUGUUGCUGCUCAAGCCCUCCAAGCUCAUGCUGCUCAGGCAGCUCAAGCUCAGGCACAAUCUGCUAAAGAUUCUUCUGGAUCAGCUGAUAAAGAGGGGAAAAACGAUACCCUUAAAAGAACCGUUCAAGUCAGCAACCUUAGCCCACUUCUCACAGUGGAUCAGCUGAAGCAGUUAUUUGGCUUGUAUGGAACUGUUGUUGAAUGUAAUGUGACGGAUUCAAAAUAUUUUGCUUAUAUAGAAUAUUCGAAGCCUGAAGAAGCAACUGCCGCAUUAGGAUUGAACAAUAUGGACGUUGCUGGUCGCCCAUUGAAUGUUGAAAUGGCAAAAUCACUUCCUCCAAAAUCGGCCAUUCUUGGUUCAUCUUCUCUCCCUUUAAUGAUGCAACAAGCUGUUGCAAUGCAGCAGAUGCAAUUUCAGCAGGCAUUAUUAAUGCAGCAAACAUUGACACAGCAGCAGGCUGCCAAUCGAGCAGCAAGCAUGAAGACUGCAACCGAGUUAGCAGCAGCUAGAGCUGCUGAAAUAAGUAAAAGUUUGAAUCCUAAUGGGAUUGUUGCAGAAGAUAAGGAAGCUGAUCGCAAAUCUAGGUCUCCAUCUACAACCCGCGCAAGGUCAAGGUCGAAGUCAAGAUCUCCUGUCAGUUACCGGCUUAGGCGCAAGUCUCGCUCUAUAACACCACCACGUCGGUACUCAAGAGGUUACAGAUCUAGAUCACCAGUAAGGUCUCGUCAUUACUCAAGCUAUGAGCAUGAAAGGAGGUCCUACAGGGAUAGCAGGGAUGAUAGUGGAAGAAGUAGGAGGAGGGAUUCAGGUAAAUCUCAUGAUCGCCAUUCUCCUGUUUCAAGAAGACGUAGAAGUAGGAGUGGGAGCCCUAGAACUAGAAGAUCAUACCGAGACGAUUCUGACUCCCCAAAACGCCAUCGAGACAGUCCAUCUCAUAGGCGAAGGAAAUCAUCUUGUGCCAAUUCAAGAUCACCUGACCACCACAGGGGAAGUAAAUCAUCCCCUAGAAACGAUGAAAGCAGAGCAAAACAUAGAAAGCAAUCCAGGUCCAGAUCAGCUGAGGUUAACCAUAACUCUGGUGAUAGGAUGGAUGAAAGUAGAGAAGAAAAGUCCAAGCACAAGGAGCGGAGGCGGUCGAGGUCCUCCUCCACUGGGGGCAAGACUCGAGAAGAGAAGUCCAAGCACAAGGAGCGGAGACGGUCCAGGUCCUUGUCCACUGAGGACAAGAUUCGGAAACGAAGUAGAUUGUCACCAAGAGUUUCAGGUGAAACCAAAUCAAAACAUAAAAGGCGGUCCAGGUCUAGAUCUCCUGAAAAAAGACAUCACGUUGGUAGUAAAGUAGACAAAAACAGUGAAGAGAAGUCCAAGCAUCACGAAAGAAGGCGGUCCCGGUCAAGGUCUACUGAAGGUAAACGGCACAAAAGUUGUGGGAUGUCGCCUAGAAGGACUGAUGAACGGAAAACAAAACAUAGGAAGCGCUCAAGGUCAAGGUCGACAGAACACAAGUAUCACUCGAGUGACAAUGGUCUGCAGGAAAGUAAGCAUGAGAAUGUGAAACAUCUGAAGGAAAGACCCACUGAAUCAGAUGAUUCCUCCAUGGAACCUGGUCCUAAGGACUUAAAUGAUUCAGAAAAUGAUGAUGGCCAUAUGGAAAUCAAUAAAAGGGAUGAGCGUGACUAUGAGAGAACCGAGGCUACUGUGACAGAACUAAAACCUUACCAGAGAAACGUGAACUAGUUUGAAAUGCUGUCACCAAAGGCAAUGGUAUUUAUUUUGUGUAAUGGAGGAUUGCUAAUGCAUCAAAAGCAACCUGUACUUUGAAGUAACUCGGUUUGAAGUUUAGGCUUGUGUGGAAAGGGCUGCGAAAAGAGGAAGAUCUGGGUUUCUCUUGGAAGAUUCCUCAAUUUCUUUUCUGCUCCCAAAUAUUAGGAUGAUAUGUGGCUCUCUUGUGAUAAUUACCUUUUUUUUUUUCCCUUCCUUCUUCUCCUGAUUGCAGGUUGUUGAUGGAGUGGAGUUGCUGUAUUCUGAAGCUAUCUUGCUAUCAUAUUUCAGGAAGUCCUGUGCCUAUUUAAAUCAACUGAGCUAUAAUUUAUGGAACUACUGUAUGAGCUUGAUCUAAGCUGAUCUCUUACCUUCAUCAGUAGGUCCUCAAGCUGGUAUCAAGUGGUGCUUUACUGAUCAAUUUGGCGAGAUUGUGUUAUCUGGUUGUAUAUGAAGGUAUGCAAUCAUGGAUUCUGGUGGUCUAGUGGCAGGAGCUUUUGCUGUUAAUUUUGACUGAUAGAUUGAAUUGUUCACUGAUUUUUGUUGGUCCAAUUUUGAUUGAAGAUGAAGUUUGUUUCUGUACUUGAUACUUUGUAAUGCUCCUUUCCUCAUGUUUCUUUUGUCUUUUCCUUUUUUUUUUGGUUUUUUUUUUGGGGGGGAAGAGGGGAGGUUGGGUUUCCCCCUUCCCUUUUCUCUCUUCUUUCCUUCUUCCCUGUUUCUUCUCUAUAUUCCUUGGAAUGCUUGAUUAGGUAAUUUAUCAUUGACUCGAAAAGGAGGUUGCUGAGAUGGUUAGCAACAUAGCUUCCAGCUUUUCUCCCUGUGAAGUGAUCACAUUGGCCAACUUAAAGGGGCUGAGUUUCAUGGUGAAACUCUGUGUGCGCAGGUAAUUAGUUGUCUUAGACUGUUAUCCAAUAUCGUCUUCCUUGGAGGGAAAUGAAGUUAGCUACCCUAGGGCACGGAGAUUACUCUUGCUAAAGAUACCUAUCACUAGACAAGUAGUCUAACCCUCAGAGCAGCAGAUAGCUUGUUUGGUACACGAACCAUCUAGUUUAAUGAUAGGUAUAUUACAUUAGUUUCAUGUUGCUGAUGUUUAAUUUUGGAGUACAUUGAUGAUCAUUGCUCGAUCUGUCUAUAUCCAUGAUUGAGAGUUCACUUAUAUGCGGUCUGUGUGUACGCGUACGGAUGGGGAAAUUGUGAUUAAGCUGAAGCUCGUGAGCCAGUUGGCUGAAGUUCAGAUC